UGUCAGCAGCCGCGGUAAAACGUAGGAGGCAAGCGUUAUCCGGAUUCACUGGGCGUAAAGCGCGUGCAGGCGGUUCGGUAAGUUGGGCGUGAAAUCUCCUGGCUUAACUAGGAGAGGUCGUUCAAUACUACCGGACUUGAGAGUGAUAGAGGAAGAUGGAAUUCCCGGUGUAGUGGUGAAAUGCGUAGAUAUCGGGAGGAACACCAGUGGCGAAAGCGAUCUUCUGGAUCAUUUCUGACGCUCAGACGCGAAAGCUAGGGUAGUAAACGGGAUUAGAGACCCCGGUAAUCCUAGCCGUAAACGAUGUAAACUUGGCGUCGGUGGCUUAAACUCCAUCGGUGCCGCAGCUAACGCGAUAAGUUUACCGCCUGGGGACUACGAUCGCAAGAUUAAAACUCAAAGGAAUUGACGG
rnacentral:rRNA from 1 species